UCGGCUCACGGCUUUCUGGUUGACACAGGUGUUUGUCAGGCUGCUGGGCGACCUUUCCCGAAGGAGGCCGUGCCUUCAUUCGGGCGCGCCCUGGGCUGGGGAGGCAUCUCCCUCGUGCGCAGGAACCGCAGGGGCGAGUAGGAGCAGGUUGGGUAAAUGGACGCCUGGAGAACAGAAAUCCAGUACCAAAAUUGACUCCAGAAGAGAGAACCUAGCGGAACAAUAACAAUGGAAGAAAUUGGGAACAUUAUCAAAAAGCUAUCAUCUUGCCAAACUCCAGGCUCAGAUGGUGUUACAGGUUAAAAAAAAAGUUCUUGAAAAAGAAAGAUCUUAAGCAACAUGAUGGAUUCAGAAGCUCAUGAAAAGAGGCCACCAAUACUAACACCUUCAAAACAAGAUAUAUCAUCUCAUAUUACAAAUGUUGGUGAAAUGAAGCAUUACUUGUGUGGCUGCUGUGCCGCCUUCAGCAACAUCGCAAUCACAUUUCCCAUUCAGAAGGUCCUCCUUCGACAGCAGCUGCAUGGCAUCAAAACCCGGGAAGCAUUACUUCACUUGAGAAAAGAUGGAUUUCGAAACUUCAUUGUGGAAUGCUUCCCCCAUUGAUGCAGAAAACAACUGCACUUACACUUAUGUUUGGUCUGUAUGAGGAUUUAUCCUGCCUUCUCCACAAGCAUGUCAGGGCUCCAGAGUUUGCAACCCGUGGCAUGGCGGCAGUGCUUGCAGGGACAACAGAAGCGAUUUUCACUCCGCUGGAAAGAGUUCAGACAUUGCAUCAAGACCACAAGCAUUGUGACAGAUUUGCCAACACUUACCAGGCUUUCAAGGCACUGGAAUGUCAUGGAAUUAGAGAGUAUUAUCUAGACUUGGUGCCCAUUCUUUUCCGGAAUGGGCUCAGCAAUGUCUUUUUUUUCCGGCCUUCGAGGAGGUCCCAUUAAGGAGCAUCUGCCUACCGCAACGACUCGCAGUGCUCGUUUGGUCAAUGAUUUUAUCUGUGGAGGUCUAUUGGGUGCCAUGAUGGGAUUCUUGUUUUAUCCAAUUAAUGUUGUAAAAACUCGCAUGCAGUCUCAGAUUGGUGGGGAAUUUCAGUCUCUCCCCAAGGUUUUCCAAACAGUCUGGCUGGAACGGGACAGAAAACUGAUAAACUUUUUCAGAGGUGCCCAUCUGAAUUACAACUGGUCCCUUAUCUCUUGGGGCAUAAUCAGUGCAACUUAUGAGUUCUUGUUAAAGGUUAUAUGAAUAAAAAAUCAGUCAAGUGUCAUUUAUCAACUGAAUGGAUCUUCUGAGAAGUAUGCAUUUUGGCCUCUUUCUUAAUUGGCAGAAUACAAGUUGGUGUCAUAACUCCAGGCCACAGUGAGCUAUAGACAAAGAUAUUUUCCCUAAGCAUCAACAAAACAGAAUAAAAGGUUCCAAUAGGAAAAUAUAAGGGUUUUGUUGGUGGUGGUUUUGUUUUGUUUUUUUAUCAUCACCUAAGAGCUUUAGGCUGAUUGCCUGGCAAAUAGCUGUCCAUCUGAUGGCCUUUGACAGAUGGUAUUCUUUUUCUCAAACCAUUCUUGAAAUCUGCAUUGAAACAUAAGUGGCUGUGACCGGCCAGAGAGAAGGUCCUCAGGGGCAAGGGGCUUCUCAGGCUUACUUUGUUAUUCCAUUGCUUGCUUCUCUGCCCUCAGAAACAGCUGCAGAGGAUAGUCUUCAUUAAGCUCAAGCAUAUGAGAAAGGGGCAGAACAGAGUAGAAAAGCAGCUUAUUAGAUACAGGCUUUUAAUGAUAAAUUGCUUGUAUUAGUUUUGAAACUAAGCACCUAUUGGAUAGUCAUUAUAAUAUUUCUAUUUAGAUAGGGUAGGUAGAUCAAGGAGCUAUGAAAGUUCUCAUUUUGCCUUCUGGGUUUGAAAAUUUUCUGUUUGAUUCUGACUGUGGCCUUCAACCCUUCCAAAAUAUCCUUAUGUUAACUUCACUUAUUUCAUUGCCAAAAGAUGAAGGGGCUUAAAUUUUGUUAUGAGUGUUCCAUUCUGUUAAGAAGUUUUCAUAUUAAUUGUAUAUAGAUAAAAGUCUGUUUAGCUUGGUUUCUUUGAAUUAUUGGUGCUAUCUCAGCGGUUACUUUUCCUCUUGAGUAGGAGUUGGUCAUUUUCAAGCAUCCUGUUCUCUUAAAACUCUCCUUUUAAAAAAUAAACACUUCCAUAACAUUUUGUUUUAGAAGUCUAUUAAUGCAAUCCCACUUUUUUCCCCCUAGUUUCUAAAUGUUACAGAGGGGGAAAAAGGCUCAGGAUAGUUUUCACCCCACAGUGUUGGCUUUUAUUUUACUCUUGGAAAUAGAGACUCCAUUAGGGUUUUGACAUUUUGGGAACCCAGUGUUACCAUUGUGUCAGUAAAACAGUAAGACAGUUUGAGAGCACAUGAUCUAAAUAAAGACAUUUGAAGGGUUAGUUUGAAUUCUAAAAGUAAGUAAUAGCCAAAUAGCAUUCUCAUCCCUUAACAGAUGAAAACUUCUUCAUCAAAGGAAUUGUCAAUAUGAAAAUACUUUUUCCAGAUAAAGCAAAAUGACUCAUCUGCCACUUCCAAUAGACUAAUGAAAUAUAAGAGACUGACUGAAAAAGUGGAUUAUGAAUCUUAAAACCCUUUCUGUAAAUACUACAUAGUUAAAGAUUGAUUUCCAGACGACAUGACAGUAGGUUUCCUGCUAGCCAGUUUUUCUUCUUUCUGGGUAAUUGCAUGUCAAUAUGUGCACAUACUGACCAAAAUAAAAUCAACUUGGUAGUUUACUUAAAGUUUCUGGGCAAAUAGUCCAUAAAAGCUGUUUACCUCUAAAUGCAGUACGGCUGGCUAAAUACAGGGACCAUCCUUCUUCCAGCUGUAAAGGAUGAAGCAUAUUAAACAUUAGCCAGGCAGUAAUGAAGCUAAAUAGCCACACAGCAAUUCUGUCUGACAAUGUUGUGCUGGAUAUUGUAGUUUACUUUCAAGGUGCAGAUGUAAGGAUUUAAAAAUAAUAAUAAUUUGGCACCAAAUAAAUAUGAGUAGCAUUCUUUGGCCUGUUAGAGUCAGGAUUUGAAGGGAGUUGCAUUUGAGAAAUUAAUGAAUAAAGGCACCUUGGUGCCUGACCCCUUCAUUUAUAU